CAGGUUAGGUGUGGUCAAGCAGAGUCCCUUUAUACAUGCGCAUGGGGAGGAUAUAAUCACGCGGACCUGAGAGCAGCCUCUCAUACAGAUCUAGGCAGCGGGCGAGAAGAUAAAGGGAGCAACCACCAGGCGGCGAGAGCUGUGGAGCCUGACUGACACCAUCGGCACUGCUUCACAGACUCCUGCAGUGCAGAAGCAUCUGCAGGGAAAAGCCAUUGGAAGAAUCCUGUAAAGACAAAGGCAUCCAGAGGUGCUAGAAAAAACUGACAGAAGGAAAUACUGAAACCAUUUUCCUUAAAGUGUAUUAACAAGAAUUCCAUAGACAUGUUGCAGAUGUGGAUCGUGUAGGCAGGACUGGGACUAAACACAGCAGUUCUGUCUGUAAAGGAUAUGUGAGGAGACUUCCCCUUGUGUGAACGUCCUUGGAUUCCUCUCCUGUAUUGGUUAGACACACUCUGUGAGACUCCAGUACAAUCAGGGAAUGUUGGCAGCCAUAGGUUACAACGCUGACCCAGACACUACAAAGAUGAACAGGUUCGGUGAGUCGGCCUCUUAGAGGUACUUUAAAUAGCAGUGUGAAUCUUUCAUCAGAUAGGAAACAGCAUUCGAUACAUGGUCUGACACCCAAACAACCACUCAGCCACUUUCCAUACUACAGGGUUUAGAGGAAGCUAGUGCCAUUUUGACUCACAAGAACACCAACAAACUUCCUAUGACCUAUCAUCCUCCUGCCAGAUGAUGAGAUCACCAGGGCAGCCCAAGGACUUCAUGAUUUGGGAUUGGGACUAUGCCUGGCCACACAAUCGUGGGAAAACAAGGAAAACAGCAGGGGGCUAAGCACACCUGCCUGAGGGGCACCUAUAUUGACAGUCAGCAUGGAAGAAAGUUUCCAUCGUCCCCCACAGUCUGUAUUCUGCCAGUCAGGAAAUUCAUAAUCCAGCUGCAAAAAGAGGCUUUGAUGCCCAAGUCAUUAAGCUUCCUGACUAGUCUGGAUGGAACUACUGUAUAGUGUUAAAAGUGGAGCUGUAAUCGAUGAAUAGUAUUCUGACUUAUGUGUCUCUAUCAUCCAAAUGAGCCAGGGCAGUGUGAAGGCAGUGAUAAAUAAAUCCAAUCAAUAGAUCGAAUCAAUCAAUACUUUGUUCAUUGUUCAGUCCCUUCAAAAUUGGAAGAGACUGACCUUGAUCCAUGAAUGAAGCAGGUUGAACAUGCUAGUGAGCUCAUCCCACUGCAUUGAAACACUUUCAA